GCUCUGGUAGGGCAUGCUUAACAUGCAGUCGAGCGAGGCCCUUCCUUCGGGAAGGUGUCCUAGCGGCGAACGGGUGAGUAACACGUGGGCAACCUGCCCUUGGCUCUGGGAUAAGCCCGAGAAAUCGGGUCUAAUACCGGAUACGACACGAGAUGGCAUCUUCAUCGUGUGGAAAGAACUUCGGCCAAGGAUGGGCCCGCGGCCUAUCAGCUUGUUGGUGAGGUAAUGGCUCACCAAGGCGACGACGGGUAACCGGCCUGAGAGGGCGACCGGUCACACUGGGACUGAGACACGGCCCAGACUCCUACGGGAGGCAGCAGUGGGGAAUAUUGCACAAUGGGCGAAAGCCUGAUGCAGCGACGCCGCGUGAGGGAUGACGGCCUUCGGGUUGUAAACCUCUUUCACCCAUGACGAAGCGAAAGUGACGGUAAUGGGAGAAGAAGGACCGGCCAACUACGUGCCAGCAGCCGCGGUAAUACGUAGGGUCCAAGCGUUGUCCGGAAUUAUUGGGCGUAAAGAGCUCGUAGGCGGUUUGUCACGUCGGCUGUGAAAACCCGAGGCUUAACCUCGGGCCUGCAGUCGAUACGGGCUGACUAGAGUGUGGCAGGGGAGACUGGAAUUCCUGGUGUAGCGGUGAAAUGCGCAGAUAU
rnacentral:rRNA from 1 species